UCAGGAGGANCACCGAUGGCGAAGGCAGGUCUCUGGGCUGUAACUGACGCUGAGAAGCGAAAGCAUGGGGAGCGAACAGGAUUAGAUACCCUGGUAGUCCAUGCCGUAAACGUUGGGCACUAGGUGUGGGGGACAUUCCACGUUUUCCGCGCCGUAGCUAACGCAUUAAGUGCCCCGCCUGGGGAGUACGGCCGCAAGGCUAAAACUCAAAGAAAUUGACGGGGGCCCGCACAAGCGGCGGAGCAUGCGGAUUAAUUCGAUGCAACGCGAAGAACCUUACCAAGGCUUGACAUAUACUGGACUGCGUCAGAGAUGGCGUUUCCCUUCGGGGCUGGUAUACAGGUGGUGCACGGUUGUCGUCAGCUCGUGUCGUGAGAUGUUGGGUUAAGUCCCGCAACGAGCGCAACCCUCGUUCUAUGUUGCCAGCACGUGAUGGUGGGGACUCAUAGGAGACUGCCGGGGUUAACUCGGAGGAAGGUGGGGAUGACGUCAAAUCAUCAUGCCCCUUAUGUCUUGGGCUUCACGCAUGCUACAAUGGCCGGUACAGAGGGUUGCGAUACUGUGAGGUGGAGCUAAUCCCUAAAAGCCGGUCUCAGUUCGGAUUGGGGUCUGCAACUCGACCCCAUGAAGUCGGAGUCGCUAGUAAUCGCAGAUCAGCAACGCUGCGGUGAAUACGUUCCCGGGCCUUGUACACACCGCCCGUCAAGUCACGAAAGUUGGUAACACCCGAAGCCGGUGGCCUAGCCCUGGUGG
rnacentral:rRNA from 1 species